GAGGGUAUAGCUCAAGUGGUAGAGCACUUGCCUAGCAUGCAUGAGGUCGUGGGUUCAAUCCUCAGUACCUCCU
rnacentral:tRNA from 1 species